rnacentral:rRNA from 1 species
GACGAACGCUGGCGGCGUGCCUAAUACAUGCAAGUAGAACGCUGAAGAGAGGAGCUUGCUCUUCUUGGAUGAGUUGCGAACGGGUGAGUAACGCGUAGGUAACCUGCCUUGUAGCGGGGGAUAACUAUUGGAAACGAUAGCUAAUACCGCAUAACAAUGGAUGACACAUGUCAUUUAUUUGAAAGGGGCAAUUGCUCCACUACAAGAUGGACCUGCGUUGUAUUAGCUAGUAGGUGAGGUAAUGGCUCACCUAGGCGACGAUACAUAGCCGACCUGAGAGGGUGAUCGGCCACACUGGGACUGAGACACGGCCCAGACUCCUACGGGAGGCAGCAGUAGGGAAUCUUCGGCAAUGGGGGCAACCCUGACCGAGCAACGCCGCGUGAGUGAAGAAGGUUUUCGGAUCGUAAAGCUCUGUUGUAAGUCAAGAACGGGUGUGAGAGUGGAAAGUUCACACUGUGACGGUAG